CUAAAACCUGCAGGACACCUGUGACUUAGAUCCUCAAAUGAUCACAAAUAUAAAAUCAAAUACCCUCCACCCAAAAACAAAGCCACAGACGGUGAAGACCAGCUGGCUGGCAGGAUCAGUUACACAGCUCAUUUGGAAAGAGAUGACAUCAGGUGCAUUGCUAACACUCUGGCCCACGCACACAAAAUUCAGUGCAUCCCUGCAGAUGAUGCUUGCGUGAAAAUGGAACCAACAAGCCUGAAUAUUAAUCCAUUCCACAGAUAUGAACAUGACUUCAAAUAACAGAUGUUUUGGCAAAACUGAGGCAUCACUUCUGUCUGAGGAAUGGAUGGUGUCCCGCUGAUUUAUUCUCAUAAAGUCAGCUUCUCCUGCAGAGCAGAACACAUCAUACUGUGUAAAGUGUCCAGGCUGCUGUUGAUUUAAGCUAAUAGGAUUACCCCAUCGAGGACACCAUCACAUCUGGUUGUGAUGCACAGUCAUAAACUCUUUUUCUUGGUUUGUUUGGAGGAGAUGUCAUUUCAGACAGCUGCUCUGCCCUUGCCAAAGACAUUGUGACCCUACUUUCUUUCUGUCUUUUGAGGAAACUUUAGACUUACAUUGAAAAAAUUAUUCAGGUACAAUCCCCAUCUCGGCUAAAUUUGUUGGCCAGUUGUCCAGUAGGUGAAAAGACUCACCCAUAUUUCAGUAAUGGUAUCCAUGGAGAUUUGCAGCUACUCUGCCAAGAAAGGAUGAGAAGAUUGCCUGAGCCUUAAUUUUUUCUCCAGAUUGGGCAUGUUGUAAUAAAAAACAUUGAGAGGAAUCAGUGUUUGCUUUUCACGAAGUAUAUUUUAUGUUAUCUCAUGUAAUAUAUUUAUAUUGAUACAG
ensembl:lncRNA